rnacentral:ncRNA from 2 species
UGCAUAUUUUGUUUCCGCGCCAAAUUGAUCUAAAGGCUUCCGCCCAUGACGUUUGGCCUGAGCCGCAGGCUCGCGGGGUAUGGCUGGAAACGGCCCUGCCUUCUGUUUUGAGAAGGGGACGAACCGACACAUGG